GUGGGAGUGUGUGUGUGAAUCGUACUUGAGGCUGUCGUUGUGUGUCCAUGAUGGUGUUAGGUGGGAGUGUGUGUGUGUGAAUCGUACUUGAGGCUGUCGUUGUGUGUUGUACUCCACGAUGGUGUUAGGUGGGAGUGUGUGUGUGAAUCGUACUUGAGGCUGUCGUUGUGUGUCCACGAUGGUGUUAGGUGGGAGUGUGUGUGUGAAUCGUACUUGAGGCUGUCGUUGUGUGUCCACGAUGGUGUUAGGUGGGAGUGUGUGUGUGAAUCGUACUUGAGGCUGUCGUUGUGUGUCUUGUACUCCAUGAUGGUGUUAGGUGGGAGUGUGUGUGUGAAUCGUACUUGAGGCUGUCGUUGUGUGUCUUGUACUCCAUGAUGGUGUUGGGAGGGAGGUUC